CACAUGCAAGUCGAACGAUGAACCUCACUUGUGGGGGGAUUAGUGGCGAACGGGUGAGUAACACGUGAGUAACCUGCCCUUGACUCUGGGAUAAGCCUGGGAAACCGGGUCUAAUACUGGAUACGACCUUCUGGCGCAUGCCAUGUUGGUGGAAAGCUUUUGUGGUUUUGGAUGGACUCGCGGCCUAUCAGCUUGUUGGUGGGGUAAUGGCCUACCAAGGCGACGACGGGUAGCCGGCCUGAGAGGGUGACCGGCCACACUGGGACUGAGACACGGCCCAGACUCCUACGGGAGGCAGCAGUGGGGAAUAUUGCACAAUGGGCGCAAGCCUGAUGCAGCGACGCCGCGUGAGGGAUGAAGGCCUUCGGGUUGUAAACCUCUUUCAGUAGGGAAGAAGCCGGUCUUUUGGGUUGGUGACGGUACCUGCAGAAGAAGCGCCGGCUAACUACGUGCCAGCAGCCGCGGUAAUACGUAGGGCGCAAGCGUUAUCCGGAAUUAUUGGGCGUAAAGAGCUCGUAGGCGGUUUGUCGCGUCUGCCGUGAAAGUCCGGGGCUUAACUCCGGAUCUGCGGUGGGUACGGGCAGACUAGAGUGCAGUAGGGGAGACUGGAAUUCCUGGUGUAGCGGUGAAAUGCGCAGAUAUCAGGAGGAACACCGAUGGCGAAGGCAGGUCUCUGGGCUGUAACUGACGCUGAGGAGCGAAAGCAUGGGGAGCGAACAGGAUUAGAUACCCUGGUAGUCCAUGCCGUAAACGUUGGGCACUAGGUGUGGGGGACAUUCCACGUUUUCCGCGCCGUAGCUAACGCAUUAAGUGCCCCGCCUGGGGAGUACGGCCGCAAGGCUAAAACUCAAAGGAAUUGACGGGGGCCCGCACAAGCGGCGGAGCAUGCGGAUUAAUUCGAUGCAACGCGAAGAACCUUACCAAGGCUUGACAUGAACCGGAAUGAUGCAGAGAUGUGUCAGCCACUUGUGGCCGGUUUACAGGUGGUGCAUGGUUGUCGUCAGCUCGUGUCGUGAGAUGUUGGGUUAAGUCCCGCAACGAGCGCAACCCUUCGUUCCAUGUUGCCAGCGGGUUAUGCCGGGGACUCAUGGGAGACUGCCGGGGUCAACUCGGAGGAAGGUGGGGACGACGUCAAAUCAUCCUGCCCCUUAUGUCUUGGGCUUCACGCAUGCUACAAUGGCCGGUACAAAGGGUUGCG
rnacentral:rRNA from 2 species